rnacentral:rRNA from 1 species
UACGUAGGGUGCAAGCGUUAAUCGGAAUUACUGGGCGUAAAGCGUGCGCAGGCGCUAUGCAAGACAGAUGUGAAAUCCCCGGGCUCAACCUGGGAACUGCAUUUGUGACUGCAUAGCUAGAGUACGGUAGAGGGGGAUGGAAUUCCGCAUGUAGCAGUGAAAUGCGUAGAUAUGCGGAGGAACACCGAUGGCGAAGGCAAUCCCCUGGAC